rnacentral:rRNA from 1 species
CCCUAUGGGGUGCAGCAGGCGAGAAAACUUUGCAAUGUGCGAAGGCACGACAAGGUUAAUCCGAGUGGUUUCUGCUAAAGGAACCUUUUGUCAGUCCUAGAAACACUGAUGAAUAAGGGGUGGGCAAGUUCUGGUGUCAGCCGCCGCGGUAAAACCAGCAUCUCAAGUGGUCAGGAUGAUUAUUGGGCCUAAAGCAUCCGUAGCCUGCUUUGUUAGUUUUCGGUUAAAUCCAUACGCUUAACGUAUGGGCUGCCGGGAAUACUGCACAGCUAGGGAGUGGGAGAGGUAGACGGUACUCGGUAGGAAGGGGUAAAAUCCUUUGAUCUAUUGAUGACCACCUGUGGCGAAGGCGGUCUACCAGAACACGUCCGACGGUGAGGGAUGAAAGCUGGGGGAGCAAACCGGAUUAGAUACCCGGGUAGUCCCAGCUGUAAACUAUGCAAACUCGGUGAUGCAUUGGCUUGAUGCCAAUGCAGUGCCGCAGGGAAGCCGUUAAGUUUGCCGCCUGGGAAGUGCGUACGCAAGUAUGAAACUUAAAGGAAUUGGCGGGGGAGCACCACAAGGGGUGAAGCCUGCGGUUCAAUUGGAGUCAACGCCAGAAAUCUUACCCGGAGAGACAGCAGAAUGAAAGGUCAAGCUGAAGACUUUACCAGACAAGCUGAGAGGAGGUGCAUGGGCC